rnacentral:rRNA from 1 species
UACGUAGGGCGCAAGCGUUGUCCGGAAUUAUUGGGCGUAAAGAGCUCGUAGGCGGCUUGUCACGUCGGGUGUGAAAGCCCGGGGCUUAACCCCGGGUCUGCAUUCGAUACGGGCUAGCUAGAGUGUGGUAGGGGAGAUCGGAAUUCCUGGUGUAGCGGUGAAAUGCGCAGAUAUCAGGAGGAACACCGGUGGCGACGGCGGAUCUCUGGGCCAUUACUGACGCUGAGGAGCGAAAGCGUGGGGAGCGAACAGG